AUGCUUAAGGACUGAGCCACCCAGGCACCCCACUGAGCCACCCAGGCGCCCCUGAAUCUGCCUUGUUUAACUUUACAAAAUGAAGCCAUCUACUAUUUGUGGGAAAUUUGCAUUUCUUAGUGGAAGUGAAGUAGGAGUCUUCUAUUUCUAUCCCCUUGUUUGGCAUCCUCCACUUUCUCUUUACUGAAUGCCGUAUAUGAAAGUGUGGGAUGCCUAUUUCACAGGUGACUUGGAGGAUAAAGGACAAAUGAACAGCUUUAGAGAAGUAUUGUUAUGUAAUUUUAAUGAAUGGGAAAGAUGGGCUCAGUUGCCAAGGGGAAGAUAAAUCAAUGGGACAUAAAAGUGCUGGAACAGUCCAUGGGGUAUCCUCUGGUUCUCGCUCAUCUGGAGAAAUGAUGAGGCAUUCCUCCAGGAGCACCCCAAAUCUCUAACAGAGUAAAUGAGGGAGGAAAGAAUAGCUAUAAUUCUUACUUCUGAAAUAGCAGGGAGCCAUAUUAUUGACUGAAUUAUCAGCAUAAGUCCGUUUAAGGUUAUUUUUAUGGCUGAUAUUUUCAAAUGAUGCAGCUGGUCACCUGGGAAGAGCCGAGGCCCAUGCUGAGGUAUGCCCUAGGUAGAGGGGUCCAGUUUCAGUUCACACCUAGCUUUAAGGACUGUGCUACAUGAAAGUAUGAGGUCACUGUUUUUCCAUCAAAAAUGUACAGAUCAGAUCCUAUUUCAAUCAUGUCAUUUUCAAAAGUCAUAUGUAUUGCUUAACACUCUUCCUUACCCCUAGAAAAAAGGAUUUGGGAUGAUAUACUAAAAUAUUCAUUUAUGAGCUAGAGUCAUUUACUAUUACUGUAUUUUAAGUGAAAAAAAAAAAAAGAGCAGGUAAAGGGAACACGUAAUAAAGCCAGAGUAAGGUCACCACAUGAAAGUUUGCAUCACAGGCUCUGAAAGGAGCUUGGGAUGAAUGGAUACGCCGUAGGCAGAACACAAAAGGAGUAGCAUCACACUGUAAGAUUAAUAGUGUUCAUCGGAGGAGCUGCUCUCCACCAAGUCCAGAGAGAAACGUUCUGCUGUGGCUCUCCAUAAAGGGUACACUGAUGGAUGGCACGGCUUCCUCCCUCACAUCUCACCAGUGGAUUCCUCAGUACAUCUGCGGGGCUGUGUCUUAAUGCCCUUCAGCACAGCCCAUUGGCCUCAUGCCCCAACAGUGGGGCCCAAGUACGUGUCUGUCCAGUGAGCUGUCUUGGUCCUUGGAGAAAAUGUAAGCUCUGUCGAAAGAGAUGAUUUUUAGGCAAUUCUUUCAAGCAUUGUGUCUUGCCUUUAAGUUUUUAAAUAAGAAUUGCAUCAUAGCGGUAGAAUGCAUUCUCUAGGAAGAUUCUAGGGAGGGGAAAUUCUUCCAGACCAAAACCAAACACAUUUGCUUUGCCAGCCUGCUGAGGUGAGGGCAGGGCUGACAGUCCCUUAGCAAGGCAACACAGCCUCUGUCUCAAGGGGAUUGGAAGGAUGCCUUGGUCAAGCCAAAAGAUUCCGUUAUUUUUAUAAUCUUGAUGGCCAACUAAGGGAGUAUCCAGAAGGAACAAAAUGCUUUAGCAGAUUGGUUACGAAUAUUGUUCUUCCUAUGUUUUAAAUCGUAACAGUGCAUUUAGCAUGAUUUUCACAAAAAUAGCCUCAACAUUUGCAAUUUAAGUUACAGAAGGCGUGUGGUAAGCUAAAAAUGGUUCCCUCCUACAAAUAGCCAUGUCCUAAUCCCUGGAACCCGUAAGCAUUACUCUAUUUAGAGAAAGGGCCUUUGCAGAUAUGAUAAGUUACAGAUCUUGAAACGGGGUGAUUAUUCUGGGUUAUCUAGUUGGGUCCUAAAUGUAAUCAUGUGUUUCUUUAUAAGAGAGAGGCAGAGGGAAAUUGGAGACAACAUGGGAAAAGGCACACAGAGGGGAGAAGGCAAUGUGAAGACAGAAGUAGAGAUUGGAGUGAUGCGUCCGCGGUCAAGAGAUGCUGUCAGGAGGCAAGGAACAGACUCUCCCCUAAAGCCUCUGGAGGAAGCACGGCUCGGCUGGUGUCUUGAUUUUAGCCCAGUGAAACUAAUUUUGGACUUCUGUCCUCCGGAAUAAAUUUCUGUUGUUUGAGCAUUCAAA